rnacentral:misc_RNA from 1 species
CCAGCACGAGCCAGAGAGCCAUGCACUUUACCACCGAGUAAUGGCACAGUGAGGUCUAAAUCUAAUGCCGCUAGCUCAGACACCAGCAGGUCAUCAUCAAGAGGCGCUCCGGAUACUGACAACGUUAACUCAUCGUCACCGAUGUCAGAAAGGGCACAAAGGCGUUCCUAAAAACGAUUACACGUCCAUUAGCUAAUUACUUUAAAGACCUUUUGAUAGUAAUUAAUAUCGUACACAAAUAAGAACGUUGAAACAUUUCAUCUUCUACAUAC